UACGGGGGGUGCAAGCGUUGUCCGGAAUCAUUGGGCGUAAAGAGUUCGUAGGCGGCACGUAAAGUCUGGUGUUAAAGGCAGAGGCUCAACUUCUGUACGGCACUGGAUACUUGCGAGCUAGAAUGCGGUAGAGGUAAAGGGAAUUCCUGGUGUAGCGGUGAAAUGCGUAGAUAUUAGGAAGAACACCAGUGGCGAAGGCGGAUGACUGGACGACAACUGACGGUGAGGCGCGAAAGCGUGGGGAGCAAACAGG
rnacentral:rRNA from 1 species